rnacentral:rRNA from 1 species
AGGGUUUGAUCCUGGCUCAGAUUGAACGCUGGCGGCAUGCUUUACACAUGCAAGUCGAACGGCAGCACANANANCUUCGGUUUGGUGGCGAGUGGCGAACGGGUGAGUAAUGCAUCGGAACGUGUCCUGAAGUGGGGGAUAACGCAUCGAAAGAUGCGCUAAUACCGCAUAAUCUCUGAGGAGAAAAGUGGGGGAUCGAAAGACCUCAUGCUUUUGGAGCGGCCGAUGUCUGAUUAGCUAGUUGGUGGGGUAAUGGCCUACCAAGGCGACGAUCAGUAGUUGGUCUGAGAGGAUGGCCAGCCACACUGGGACUGAGACGCGGCCCAGACUCCUACGGAAGGCAGCAG